rnacentral:lncRNA from 1 species
AUGAAAAACAGCUUCUCAAACCUUUGCCAGAUGGGGAUUUUUUUUCAUAUAAGCACAUUUAAUGGAAUUGGUUGUGUUUUUAUGCUGCCUACAGCUGCAUGCCUGAGACCAGGUUAAAUGAAAGGCCUUGAGAUUGUAUUUAAUGUACAGGAAAUAUGAGGAAGGUCACAUUUCUUUGCUUUUAUUGCUGGCUGAGAGCACAAAGCCUGCUGUCACGGAGCGACACUGGAUCAGAGAGGUUUUCUGCUUUGUUCGGUGAAAUUAGCUUCUAAUAUUUUUCCUGGAAUUGCAGAUUGGAAUUUUCAUCGGGUCCGAAGCACGUCCUUCGCGAUGGCGGUUUCCGCACAGCUGCUGACGUGUUGUGCCCUGGGUCAGGAGGGGAUUGUCUUGUAUGUUUGCUGCACUUGGAUGCGAAUGUGACACUGCCACCUAGUGAAGUGCUCUCUGCCACGAAGAGAGGACAGCACGGGACAGAGACAGGGUCGCGGCGAGCCGGAGCCUAACCCGGCAACGCGGGGAGCAAGGCCGAAGGGGGAGGGGACACACCCAGGACGGGAUGCCAGUCUGCCGCAAGGCACUCCGAGCGGGGCUCGAACCCCAGACCCGCUACGCAGCGGGCACCGGCUGAACGUGCCACGCCAUGCCACGCCCCACCCGCCAUCGCAAAUAUUCCUCUGAAAAACUAGCUGGCCAUUUUACUAUAAUCAGGCCUUACAAUCACUUUUUGUUUUGCUCUACUUACUUUUAAGAUGAUCUCCAAAUCUUAUUUAACAGUUUUUUUCCCUUUUCUACUUCAAAUUUUGAGUGUUUGCUAGGUAUUUGUGCCUUGCAUUUCACUCUGAUCGUGACCUAAUCUGGAACAUUGUUGCUAUCCUCACCUGAGACAAGACCUGUUGUUUUGUGGAAAAAAAUCAUAUUAUCUAAGUCAUUCUUUUAAUUUGGUAAAUAAUACAACACAUUAUAUAGAUCGGUUAACAUCAAUAUGCACUCUUACCAACAAUAUAGUGAAUGCAAAUUUACUUCACUUUACUAUGAAGGUCAUUUUACCACAUGACUGUGGCCAAUUCAAACUGGAAUCACACUAUGUUUGAGCAACCCCCCACGUAUUGUAUUGUUUUAUUGUUUUACUAUAUAUAGAGAUUGCAUAAAGUGUAUACUUAUGUUGUAUAGCGUAACUUAUGUUAUACUCUUAACACUGCAUUUUCUGGAGCUGCACUAAAGAUUUUCACUCUUCUCUACAUGUUAUGUUGACGGUGAU